rnacentral:lncRNA from 1 species
UUCUUGCGCAUGCGCACAAAGCACGGUGAUAGUUACGGUUACUGACUCAGGAACCUUGUAUAUUAUAUACGUUUAAUAAACUGGAUCCUUGUUGUGUUCAGUUAUCGAUACACUACGAUGGAAUUACGGACCAGUUUAACAUAAACAUGGUAAAUAGAUAGACAGCUGAUAAUCAUAAUUGAUUAAGAAAUAACCUGGAAGAAGAAAUGAGUUAACUAUUGAUUACAACAGAGACGAGAAUGCCAUCGUGUUUGUUCUGCUAAAAAAAAGCAGGAACAUUGGAGUUUAUGGUUAGAUUUUAAAUAUUUAUUGUCUCCAAACUGGGUAAAUUUGAUAUAGUAACACCCCCCCCUUUUUUUUUUUAAAUAACUCGAGAACCACACAUCGCGCUCGCUUAACAAAGUAACAAUAAGAAAUAAUUAUUGUUAGUUUCAAGAAUAAUUAAUCGUCAAAACUUAUCCCCUCCCCGACAUCAAAGGAAGUUAAAUGUAUUAUCCCAAAAUUAGACCAAAUUUUUAUGAUAUAAGGACGUCUUGACAGGCUAUUAUUUUAUUUUGUUUUGUUGGUUUUUUUUUUUUUGCUUUGACGUCUUCCUCCUGUAUGAAAAAAAAACAUAAUAGACCCCCCCCCUUUUUCCCCAUAAUAUAGCUUUUUAAGAAGUCAUAACUAUUUGGACUACCCCUGAAUAUAUUUCAGACAGACUCUUCUCUAAAAAAAUGUAAACAUGAUUUGAGAGAAAUCUUUGGAAUAGUUUUUUAAAUGAUUUAAUUAUUAUGUCAUGUAUAUAAUUGACAUUAACAUAGUUAUAAAACUGAGACUACUAGUAUAACACAUAGUGUUAUAGUAGUCUCAGCUAUAAACUUUCCAUUGUAUUGACCAAUAUGACUAACUCAUAUGCUCUUUCCCAUAAAUGUCACAAUAUCAAUAUAUUACAGUAAAACUGAUAGUUUGAUGACAUUGUUUAAGACUAUUGACCUCAGGUCAGCCUAAACUGAGUUUAAAACUGUAAUUUAUUCAUUAAAACAGUUCAAGACAUGUACCUUCUGAAAUGUGAUUGCAUCAAAAUUAAACCUAAGGCAUAACAUACUUAGUGUGCAGGAAGUGCCACCAAAUAAAUACUGAUUUGUAAAAUUAGAUGAUGAUAUUUGUGAAGUCAAAGAUAUUAUAGCUAGUUAUAACUGGUUUUAGAUAUAAAUCUGAGUAAAAGGUUGAUUUAUAUGUGCUCUUUCAUGUUUAGAUUAUAAUUUAAAUUUAAUCUUUUGAAGUUUUUUUUAUAAUAUUAAGACAUUAAAAUCACAAUUAUUUAUUUAUACACAAAAAAAUAAUUUUUGUCCUUUUUUAGUUGAAUGACUGUACACAAACAUUAUACACACAUAAUUUUGAUAAUUCUGUAAUGUUUUUUUUUUCUAUAGCCCCAGAAUGUGACAAAAGACUUAUUAAUCCAGAUUUACAAAAAAUAGAAAUAGUUCAGCUACCAUAAGACUGCUAUGACAAAAAUUUUGCAGUUUCCAGAAUUUGAGGUAGAGUAUAGUUAGGAAUAGUUUGAUUAUGCAGAUGCUUAGUUUGCCAUAAACAAUUAUGCCCUUGAUACAAAAGCAGAGGAAACAAAAAAGUAUGAAAAUAGUUGAAAAAAGUAAUCAUUAUUACCUAGUCAUAUACUGUAAAUAGAAAAAGAGAAAAGCACUGGUUAUGAUUUGGUAUUUUUAAUAGCAUUAUCAUUUGUCCAUAACUUGGAAUAUAUACUGGAUUGAGCUUGACAUUUAUUUAAUAUCAUUGACACAUGGUUGCAAGAAAUGAAAGAUGGUAAUUUAAACCUAGCAAUUUUAUUAAGAUUUAAAAAAAAAGCUUUUUGAUUUGGUAGAAUAUGACUUUCUUUGUUUAAAGCUCGACAUGUAUGGAUUUAGUGAGACUACUGUUAGUUUUUUUAAGUCGUACCUGAAUAACAAAAGGUAUACAUUUGUAAUGUUAACUCUGAACAACAACAUGUAAAAUUUGGUGUUCCCCAAUGUUCUAUACCUUGUCCUCUAUUGUUUGUGCUAUUUAUAAAUGACCUUCCCUUAUGCAUUAAAAAUUGUGAAACAGACCUAUAUAUCGUUGUAUAUGCUGAUGACACCAUUCAUAAAUCAGGGGGAAACAUCUAGAAAUAUAAAUGAUGAUGUUCAAGAAGAUUUAUACAGGGUUGAAGAGUGGUGUAAAAUGAAUAACAUGUUCAUAAGAUGCAAAUGAAACAAAAUGUUUGAUUACUGGAACAAAGCAGAAACUAUUCAGACUUUUCAACCAAACUUGAUAAUAAAUUAAAGUAUUACAAAAUUCUUCAUGUGAAAAAAUAUUAGUUUCAAAAUUGACAGCCCACUAAGUAACUGGAGAAAUCAAAUUGACCAAGGUUGUGCUAAUAUAUCAUCCAGAAUAUACCAUCUUUCUUAAAUACAUUUUUUUUUAUAUAACUGCAAGAAAACAUAAUACAAUGGGUGUUCUGCCCCUAAUUGACUACUGUUGUAUUAUUUGGGAUGAAUGUAAAAAUUGAGGGAUAACAAGAAUUUUAAAAAUCCAAAAAAAGGGCAGCAUGAUAAAUUCUAGAUGCAGAUCCGUUAUCCCUCUUGGUAUAUAGGAGCACUAUAUUCUAUGUUAACCUCCGCCAGUAGGUAUAAACAAAUACUGUUGAUAGACGGUAUAUAGGAGCACUAUAUUCCAUGUUAACCACCGACGGUAGGUAUAGACAAAUACUGGUGAUAGACGGUAUAUAGGAGCACUAUAUUGUAUGUUAACCACCGACGGUAGGUAUAGACAAAUACUGUUGAUAGACGGUAUAUAGGAGCACUAUAUUGUAUGUUAACUACCGACGGUAGGUAUAGACAAAUACUGUUGAUAGACGGUAUAUAGGAGCACUAUAUUGUAUGUUAACUACCGACACGGUAGGUAUAGACAAAUACUGUUGAUAGACGGUAUAUAGGAGCACUAUAUUGUAUGUUAACCACCGACGGUAGGUAUAGACAAAUACUGUUGAUAGACGGUAUAUAGGAGCACUAUAUUGUAUGUUAACACCGACGGUAGGUAUAGACAAAUACUGUUGAUACAGUAUGGUAUGGGAGUGCACUUUAGACAAUGCAUUUUGUAUGGGACAUAUGUUUUAGGUAUAGACAAUAUACAUACUGUGAUAGACGGUAUAUAGGAGCACUAUAUUGUAUGUUAACUACCGACAGUAGGUAUAGACAAAUACUGUUGAUAGACGGUAUAUAUGGGAGCACUAUAUUGUAUGUUAACCACCGACGGUAGGUAUAGACAAAUACUGUUGAUAGACGGUAUAUAGGAGCACUAUAUUGUAUGUUAACUACCGACGGUAGGUAUAGACAAAUACUGUUGAUAGACGGUAUAUAGGAGCACUAUAUUGUAUGUUAACCACCGACGGUAGGUAUAGACAAAUACUGUUGAUAGACGGUAUAUAGGAGCACUAUAUUGUAUGUUAACUACCGACAGUAGUAGUAUAGACAAAUACUGUUGAUAGACGGUAUAUAGGAGCACUAUAUUGUAUGUUAACUACCGACAGUAGGUAUAGACAAAUACUGUUGAUAGACGGUAUAUAGGAGCACUAUAUUGUAUGUUAACCACCGACGGUAGGUAUAGACAAAUACUGUUGAUAGAUGGUAUAUAGGAGCACUAUAUUGUAUGUUAACUACCGACGGUAGGUAUAGACAAAUACUGUUGAUAGACGGUAUAUAGGAGCACUAUAUUGUAUGUUAACUACCGACAGUAGGUAUAGACAAAUACUGUUGAUAGACGGUAUAUAGGAGCACUAUAUUGUAUGUUAAACUACCGACGGUAGGUAUAGACAAAUACUGUUGAUAGACGGUAUAUAGGAGCACUAUAUUGUAUGUUAACCACCGACGGUAGGUAUAGACAAAUACUGUUGAUAGACGGUAUAUAGGAGCACUAUAUUGUAUGUUAACUACCGACAGUAGGUAUAGACAAAUACUGUUGAUAGACGGUAUAUAGGAGCACUAUAUUGUAUGUUAAACUACCGACGGUAGGUAUAGACAAAUACUGUUGAUAGACGGUAUAUAGGAGCACUAUAUUGUAUGUUAAACACCGACGGUAGGUAUAGACAAAUACUGUUGAUAGACGGUAUAUAGGAGCACUUUAUUGCAUGUUAACCACCGACGGUAGGUAUAGACAAAUACUGUUGAUGGACGGUGCAAAGGAGUACUAUAUCGUAUGUUAACCACUGACGGUAGGUAUAGACAAAUACUGUUGAUAGACGGUAUAUAGGAGGACUGUAUUGUAUGUUAACCACCGACGGUAGGUAUAGACAAAUACUGUUGAUAUACGGUAUAUAGGAGUAUUGUAUUUUAUGUCAAACAUCGACGAUAGGUAUGGACAAAAUCCGACAAAUACUGUAUACAGACAGUGUAUAGAAGUACUGUAUUGUAUGGUAAACACUGACGGUUGGUAUGGACAAUUUCUGUAUCAUGCAUCAAUUGUAAAUAAAAGUAUCAUGUGAGUGACACAGGCUCAUUGAAGCCUCUAGUUUUGAUAUUAUUAAUGUGGAGAUCUGGUCUAAUUUAUCAUUUUCUCUAUUACAUGCAUGAUAACUGCAACAAUUGAAUUGAAAUAAAAGUGAUAAUAUUUCUGUUGUAGGUUAUCAAGAUUUAGUGUUUCCAUACAAGUGACAAAGAUUGAACAACAAAAACAUCUCAAACUUUACAGGACAGAGUAGACUUUUUUCACUGUGCUUAGUUUUGUCUUUAUGUCUAAAUUAUGAUACCUUUAAAAAAACCAAUAAAAUAUGGAAUAACAUUUAUUUCUAUCUUAUAAAGUGGAGUGAAGAAAUAAGGGGUCAUUGAAAACAUAAGAAUAUAUUGCUAUCAUAUAUGCAGAUCAGCAGCCC